UAUGAAGAACGUAGCGAAAUGCGAUAAGUAGUGUGAAUUGCAGAAUUCAGUGAAUCAUCGAAUCUUUGAACGCACAUUGCGCCCCUUGGUAUUCCAUGGGGCAUGCCUGUUCGAGCGUCAUUUGUACCUUCAAGCUCUGCUUGGUGUUGGGUGUUUGUCUCGCCUCUGCGUGUAGACUCGCCUCAAAACAAUUGGCAGCCGGCGUAUUGAUUUCGGAGCGCAGUACAUCUCGCGCUUUGCACUCAUAACGACGACGUCCAAAAGUACAUUUUUACACUCUUGACCUCGGAUCAGGUAGGGAUACCCGCUGAACUUAAGCAUAUCAAUAAGCGGAGGA
rnacentral:misc_RNA from 1 species